GACGAACGCUGGCGGCGUGCUUAACACAUGCAAGUAGAACGCAGUUGCGAACGGGUGAGUAAGGCGUCGGUAACUGCCUGGUAGCGGGGGAUAACUAUUGGAAACGAUAGCUCAUACCGCAUACUACCAGAUGUACCUGCGUUGUAUUAUCUAGUUGGUGAGGUAACGGCUCACCAAGGCAACGAUACAUAGCCGACCUGCGAGGGUGAUCGGGCACACUGGGACUGAGACACGGCCCAGACUCCUACGGGAGGCAGCAGUAGGGAAUUUUCGGCAAUGGGGGGAAACCUGACUGAGCAACGCCGCGGGAUUGAAGAAGGUUUUCGGGUCGUAAAGCUCUGUUGUUAAGGAAGCGGUACUUAACCAGGAAGGGACGGCUAACUACGUGCCAGCAGCCGCGGUAAUUC
rnacentral:rRNA from 1 species